rnacentral:misc_RNA from 1 species
GAUGAGAACGUAGCGAAAUGCGAUAAGUAAUGUGAAUUGCAGAAUUCAGUGAAUCAUCGAGUCUUUGAACGCACAUUGCGCCCCCUGGUAUUCCGGGGGGCAUGCCUGUCCGAGCGUCAUUGCCGCCCUCAAGCACGGCUUGUGUGUUGGGCCCCCGCCCCCCGGCUUCGGGGGGCGGGCCCGAAAGGCAGCGGCGGCACCGCGUCCGGUCCUCGAGCGUAUGGGGCUUCGUCACCCGCUCUGUAGGCCCGGCCGGCGCCCGCCGGCGACCCCAAUCAAUCUUUCCAGGUUGACCUCGGAUCAGGUAGGGAUACCCGCUGAACUUAAGCAUAUCAAUAAGCGGAGGA